AUCUUGACUGUACAAAGGUAGCAUAAUCAUUAGUUUUUUAAUUGAAAGCUGGAAUGAAUGGCUGAAUAAGGAAAUGACUGUCUCUUUUUAAUUAAGUUGAACUUUAUUUUUAAGUUAAAAAGCUUAAAUUUAAUAAAAAGACGAGAAGACCCUAUAGAGUUUAAUAGGUUUAUAUUUUUAUAAUUUAGGAUUUUAUCAUAUAAUAAUAUUAACUUAUUUAGUUGGGGUGACUAUUGAAUUUAAUAAACUUCAUUUUUGUAAUCAUUGAUUUAUGAAUAAAUGAUCCUAGUGUUUAGAUUAAAAGAAUAAAUUACCUUAGGGAUAACAGCGUAAUUCUUUUGGAGAGCUCUUAUCGAUAAAAGAGAUUGCGACCUCGAUGUUGGAUUAAAGUUUAUUUUUGGUGCAGAAGCUAAAAUAUUAAGACUGUUCGAC
rnacentral:rRNA from 1 species